AUACGGAGGGAGCGAGCGUUAAUCGGAAUUACUGGGCGUAAAGCGCGCGUAGGCGGCUUUGUAAGUCGGAUGUGAAAGCCCUGGGCUUAACCUGAGAAUGGCAUUCGAUACUGCAGAACUAGAGUAUGGUAGAGGGAAGUGGAAUUUCCGGUGUAGCGGUGAAAUGCGUAGAUAUCGGAAGGAACACCAGUGGCGAAGGCGACUUCCUGGGCCAAUACUGACGCUGAGGUGCGAAAGCGUGGGGAGCAAACAGGAUUAGAUACCCUAGUAGUCC
rnacentral:rRNA from 1 species